GUUAUAAGCUCACUAUUUGAUCAAGUAAAUUUUCUCUUGGGAUUUGGAUGAAGUUUGUUGGUGAAAUCGAUCAUUAUUGAGUAAUUAUUCUCUUAAUCUGACCUACGCCAAGAAAUCGGAUUGAAAUGGCUGAAAUCUGGAAUGACCCGAGUUUGAUUGUGUAAAUUUGUUGUUUCGAUCCUCUCAGUUCUCGCCGAAGUCAUUGUUCUUUCCGCGGAUUGAUUUCAUGUAGCGAGUUGCGGGAAAAUGGUGGCCUGUUAAUGCCGAGUGGUGAAGAUUUAAGCAGGUGGAAGCCAGAGAGUGAAUGUUGGGUUUCUUCUCAAUUUCUCAAACAUCGCUUUUCUUCACUCUUCGUUUGUUCUCUUCUAAAUAAAGUCGACGCAGUUUUUUUCGUUCUAAAUAUGAACACAUUCAUCAUUUAAACCCAAGUCUUAAACUAUUCUGAUAUCUCUGUUUAUUGUUGAUUUCCCAUGAACUUUUGUCUGAUUUUCAGGGGAAAAUCAUUAAGCUAACUGCGGAAUUAAUGGUACUGUCUGUUCAUAAUCAUCAAGUCCUUUAAUCCUUAUCUUUUCUUUCCAGCAUUUGUUGAUAAAAUGUGAGGAUCCCUGUUGCUUGCAUUGGAUUUGUUAUGUUUAAGAACAAUAAUUCUUCUGGUGAUAUUUGAAAGUGCUUGAAAUUGACCUCAAAUGAUGUAAUAAGGUUGGGAAAAUUGAAGUUUCACCGGUUUCUGCUUGUGGAAUACUAUCAUUAGAUAGAAAUUUUCUAUGUUUAUCCCCAAACAUUAGUCUCUUCUGAGUUAAGAAUCAAGAAUUUGAAUCUGGUUUAGAAGAUCUUUGUUGAUUUUGAGAUGGAGUCUGGUGAUGUUGAACAAUCCUUGCUUCCCAAGCUGUCCGAUUCCAAAAAGAGGAAUUCUCUCCAGAGAAGAAAAUCGAUCCAUCAUGAAAUUUUUUCACGUUCAUUAGAACAUAACAAUCAACCACGAAACGGUGAUGAAGUGUCUUAUCAGCGUGUGGUUGUUAAACAAGUUAGUUUUAGGAAAGUAUUUGUUGUGUUGGCUACUUAUUUGGGAGGAGGAACACUUUGUUUCUUCCUUGUUGGAGAUCAAAUCAAUGGCAAGAAAACAAACGGGAUUGUUGAUGCCAUUUACUUUUGUGUUGUGACAAUGACCACUGUUGGGUAUGGUGAUCUUGUUCCUAAUAGCAUUGGUGCAAAACUACUUGCUUGUGCUUAUGUCUUCACUGGAAUUACUCUUGGUGGGAUGCUUCUUAGCAGGGCGGCUGAUUACAUUGUCGAAAAGCAGGAAAUUCAUCUGGUUAAGGCCAUUUUCAUGAGCAAAAAGAUCAGCUCCGGUGAGCUCCUUCGAGAGUCUGUGGCACACAAACUCAAAUACAAAAUCAUUAUGACUGGAAUCGUCCUUUGGGUUCUCGUCGUUGUCGGUACUCUUUUCUUGAUUCUGGUUGAGAAGUUUGAGUUCACAGAUGCCUUUUAUUGUGUUUGUUCCACAAUCACAACUCUAGGCUAUGGGGACAAGAGCUUCUCUACAACAACUGGUCGUGUUUUUGCUGUCAUUUGGAUAAUGAGCAGUACCAUCUGCUUGGCACAGUUCUUUCUGUACCUCGCCGAAUUACGCGCCGAGAGGAGACAGAAAUCACUAGUGAAUAGGGUUCUCUCCCGAGACCUCACUUUCUCUGAUCUCGAAGAAGCAGACCUUGAUCAUGAUAAAGUAGUAAGUGCUGCUGAAUUUGUUGUAUAUAAACUGAAGGAAAUGGGAAAGAUCAAUCAGGAAGAUGUUUCUCCAAUACUUGACACUUUUUAUAAGCUUGACAUUGAUCAAUCAGGAAACUUAACAGAAGCUGAUUUAGUAACUUCAUAGUCGUCGGCGUAUUGACACCGAACUCAUAUCAGACAAUAGCUCACAUAGAGCAUCGAUGAGCAUACAAAGUGAGCAGACAUAGAUGAAUUUCAAGACAUCAAUGUCUAAAUCGACUGACAACCGACGAAUGAUCUUUUAUUGGUACUUGUAUUGGUAUUCGGCGUAUUCAGGCCGUCCUGCUACAUAAUCUAGGAUCCUUUCACCUGCUCUCUCACCAUGAACUUCGGUUCCAACUUGGAAACCUCCUCCAAAGGCUGUCAUUGCCACCAAAAGUACGGCUGUGGAGAGAAAGAGAGGCCAAAAGAAUGCUAGAAUACUUAGAAACCGGGGCGCUGCAUAUACGAACAAUGACAUAACCACUGAAACUGCUGCUACAACAGUUAGCUGGUCUUUGUGUUGGAGAACCUUUGUUUGAAUGACCUGAAUGUCCAUGGAGAAAGACAGAGAGAGAGAGAUAGAGAAAUUGGCUGUGAGAGAUGAUUGUUAUGAGUCCUUUUUCUUUUCUUGUAAGAUGGUAUUUAUAAGUGAUGAGUUUCAAAAGUUCUCAAAC